GCUUUGGUGGUCUAGUUGGUUAUGACGGCCGCUUCACACGCGGCAGGUCCCGAGUUCGAUUCUCGGCCGAAGUA